GGUGGAUGCCUUGCUGUCUGCCCACAUCCUCCGUGUCCCUGCUGCUGGAACAGCUCUCCCCAGUCCCUCAUGGGAGAAACGGGGCCCGAGUCACGAGCAGCGUGGCCGCUGGGUCUGCACCACGGAGCAGUCUCAGCGGGGCCGCGCCACCACUGCCCGGCCAUCGACCGCCAUGGACACACUUUCUGCGGUUCCCAGAGGGGAAGAAAAAGUGGAAAGAAAACCCCGCAGACGCAGACGGAGGCAGAUGGGGUCAUGUUCGAGAGGUAUGCAUGAGGGGCAGCUGCACUCUUUUUCCUUUGAUUUAGGGAUGUGUGAGUAUUUGGGGAGAAGGAGGGACGAGGGAAGGAUGGGAGGAGAAAGACCCAGUCUUGGAAGGCAGGCCUGCAGCCGCCCUCAAGAGACACAGGGCCACGCCGCCUCUGGGCACAGGCCGGGCUGGGUGCUCCCUGCCUGCGCUGGGGAAGGAACGCAGGUAGGUGGGCCUCGCAGCCGCCGGCAGGUGCGAGAGGGAUGUGUUGGGCGGGGGCUGGAACUCUCCCGGCUGAAGGCUUAUUAGCAGCAUCAAUCACCACGGUGUCACUUCCAAACGCCCUCUCCUCACCUAGUUUGCUAACCCUAAUUCUUUAUCACACCCAGAAGCUUGGAUGAGAGAUGGGUGUACUAAUGAAUGCUGGCUGGCGGGCUCCGCGGGCAGGGCAGGGGCUGGGAGAGGGGAGUCUUCUCCACCCGGCAGGAUGAACUCCUCCCUCCUGCGGGCAUAUCUGCAUGCCUCGACCCAGCCAGGGUUUGGCAGCCUAAGUGAGCCCCGGGGUUCUUCCCGGCCUCUCCAGAGGCCCGGCUCCCAGUGGCUCCCAGGCUUGCACUUGGAAAGCGCCUUUGCAGCUCAGAAAAUACUGCUGGCAGUGUCCCCCCUUGCUCGCUGUUUAUGCUGUUGGGAAAACA